rnacentral:lncRNA from 1 species
UAGCUAGUUAAUUUCUCCCUCAUCGGCGAAGGAAAGAAACGUUCUUCAGUUUAUCUAUCAAAAACCUAACAAAGUUUGUCCGUUUGGAAACAUCCGAUAAAAGUGGAACGAUACGGAGAAAUGGUCCAAAUUGUUGAAAUCUUUAAGCCGAGGUCAGUUUUCAUAUCUUGCUUUUGAAUUAAUGAUGAGAGAUUUCUUUGGGUUAAUUAGUGUUUUGACCAUUUAAUUUUAUAGUUAAUCAGAAGGAUGUGUUCAAUUUUGGAAGAAUAUUUGUGUUUGAUGUUCGAAAUUAAAGCAGUGAAACUUCUGUUUAAUUUCAAUUGUUUGCUUAAGUUUAGGCAAAUUGCAUACAAAUGGGAAAGAGGAAAGGAAUAUACUAAGCAAGUUAUAUGCAUAUGCUUUGAACAACCUAUGUCAAAUGGAUAUACAUGGUUAUGUAAAUUGAUUUGAUUCCUUAAAAAUACAGUAGAACUUUACAACUUGAAUAUCCACUUCUGAUCUGCACGAUACUUCUACACGAAUGAGGGCCAGCUGAAGAAGUAUCAUUCUUGCACUAUUUUGAGGCAAAAUGGCUGUUACAAUCAGUGGAAGAGAGCUCGACUGGAACUUUGAUAGCUGAAUGGAAGCCAGUCGAGACAUGCUUUCCAAGAAGCCAUCUUGGGCUGGGGUUAGCAUAGAUUGAAGGGAACGUCCUAGUCUUGUUGGCAGCCAACUUAAUGGGUUGCGAGUCAGGAAAAGUGCAGGUCGCUGGUCUUGGUGCCACAUAACUAAGAGAGCCAUUUCAUUUAGGGCAAGAAAGAAUGCACGGGCACGAACAUUGCCAGUUCUCAUUAGGUAUGUCGCGGUCCAGAAAAUUGGAAGAACCAUGAGCACCAGUGUUAAAGGAGGCUGAGCUAAAUAGAGCUAUGUAGAGGGAAUUCUGAUCUUCCAAUUCCUCCCCGUCACUGAUUGAUGGGAGUUUCCUUCGAGCAGCUUAGGAUUAUCUGGAACAUUAAACAAGGAGUUAUUUAAGCUAUCAACCACAACAGUUGUAAGCAGAGUUAUGCAAAAAGUUUAUUAACUUAAUCUCAACCUGGAGUUUCAUCAUUCAUGUUUGAGAUUCUUCAAAAUGUUACCAGAAACUAUUUUCCCGACCCAGUUUGGUAUAUGUGCUAGUUCAAAACACAAAAUACUGUGUUAAUGGUUUAUAGUCGUUUUAUGGGACAAGAAUUAGAGCCCAAUACAUGCAUCCAUAUAUAAAAAGGGAUUUAUGGAAACUUCUAACAAUACUGGAGCUUGGAACUUUUGUUAAAUUUCUUUUUUCCCCUCAAUAAUGUGCAUAUGCACGCGCAUAUGAUUAAACUACUUCACAAAGCAUAAACCAGUUCUGUACUGGAGAAUUACUCGUGCGUUUGUGAAAAUGAUCUUUGUUAAUCAGUGUGUAUAUUUCAGUCUAUCUUCUAAAAAAAAAAGAAUCUCAAUCUGCGGCAAUGUUUUGAUGUCCUUAUGGAAUCCAUUAAUUUAAGAAGACUAGGAUUGGCAUUUAACUUGUAAAAUGUGGGAAUUUCCUAGAUAGGCAAUCACGUGUUGGACUCUACUGCAUAAUCUUUCAUGACUCCACUUUCGUCAUACUUCAAUUCACUAAUUAACCAAUUUUCCUUCAUCAAAAGAAAAUUAUGAAAGAAGUUGGCAAUUGUGACUGGCUGAUGUAUACUAAGCUCUCAUCUGUUUAUGUGCAGAAACCUUCACACCUGUGUUCGUCCCUUCCGGGACAUCAGACAAAAUUGGAAUGAUACAGAGAAGAUUAGCAUGACCCCUGCGCAAGGAUGACAAGCACAAAUCGAGAAAUGGUCCAAAAUUUUUUCUUCCCAUUUCUUCAGAGCUCCAUUUUCGUGGGUUUUUGCUUUUUAACUCAAUCUUAUUCAGUUGAACUCUCUAACCUGAGGUCAGUUUCCAAUUUCUAAUAGUGUGUAAGUUAAAAGCUUCUUGCUUUAGAAAUAUUGAUUAGUGUUGUGAAAUUUCAGUUUCAAAAGUGCAUUCAGAUAGUGUAUUGAGCUUAUCCUUGUGUUCAAUUUUUAAGAACAAUUGUGUCGUUUGGUGUUGGAAAUUAAAGCAUUGAAACUCUCUGUUUAAAAUUUCUCUUACUUAAGUUGCUAAUUGAAAAACAAAAGAACAAAAUGAAUUCUCUUGCAUACGAAUGGGAAAGAGGAAAUGGACAUACUAAGCAGGUAUGCAUUUGUACUCUUCAUUUGCCUUGAAUGUAUAAUAUGGAUAUGUGUAUAAUAUGGUUAGUAAAUGUGAUUUGAUUUUUUAAAAUACAGUAAAACUCUACUAGAACUUGAAUAUCCACCUCCGAUCUACACCAGUAUCAAGAUACGUUUACAUGAACGAGCGCCAGCUAAAGAAUUAUCAUCUCCUGCACUAUCUUGAGGCAAUUUGCCUGCUACUGAAAGUUCAAUCAGUGAAAGAGAGCGCUGUGGAAACAAGAAAAGCAUAGAAUGAAGGGAAUGUUCCUAGUCUUGUUGGCUUUGCCAACUAAAUGGGUUGCGAGUCAGGAAAAGCGAACAUGGGGACUCAGGGUCGGGGCGCAACGUAAUAAGAGUCAUUCCAUUUAGGGCAACACAAAAUGCACGGGCACAAAUAUUGCCAGUUAAUUAGAUUUGUCAUUGUUUAGAAAAUAGGAAUAACCAUGAACACCAGGGUUAAAGGAGUCUGAGCUAAAUAGAGCUAUGUUGAGGGAAUGCUGAUUUCCAAUUCCUCCCCCAGUCACCAUUUGAUGGGGUUUUCCUAAGAGCGGCGUAAGAUUAUUUGGAACAUUAAACAAAAAGUUAAUUAAGCUAUCAACUAAAGCAGCUGUAAGCUGAGUUAUGCGAAAAGCGUAUUAACUUAUCUCAACCUGGAGUUUCAUGUUUGAGAUUCUUUAAAAUUGUUACCAGAAACUAAUUUCCCGACCCAGAUUGGUAAACGUGCUAGUUCAAAACUCAAGAACCUGUGUUAAUGGUUGGUAAAUUUUAUAUGGCAGAAGAAUUAGAGCCACCAUAAAAAUCAUACUGACCAUUAAAACAGGUUCUUGAGUUUAUGGUAGAAGAAUUAGAGCCCAAUAAGAUGAAUAUCUUCUCAAUUCUUUUGGUGUAACACGGCUAUAAUAAAUGACAUAGGUGCCAUGAUUGACUUUCUUAGCUCAUUACACAUUUCUUAAUUGUAUCCAUCUUGUAAUUACUUGCCAGCACACUGUUGUUGCUGAAAUUUAUCUACUUCCUUUUAACAAUCAAAAAGAAUUAGAGCCCAAUACAUGCUUCAAUCUAUAACAACGGACAUGUAUUUAAACUACUUUCUUACGAAAACUACUAGCUUUUCUAGAGUUUGGAUCUUUUAGAUUUUUUUCUCGCCUCAAUAACAUGUGUGCGCGCGCAUGUAUUUAAAUUACUUCACAAAGUCAUAAACCAACUCUGUACUGGAGAAUUACUCAUGGAUUUUUGAAAAUGAUCUUUGUUAAUCAUUGAGUAUACUUCAGUCUGUGGCAAUGUUUUAGUGUCGUUGCUGGAUCAAUUAAUUUAAGAAGACCGGGCUUGGCAUCUAACUUGUUAACUUGUGGGAAUUUCCUUGAUAGGCUAUCACAUGUUAGACUCUACUUUAGUCAUACUUCAAUUCACUACUUAAACAAUUUUCCUUCAUCCAAGGAAAAUUAUUUAAAAAGUUGCUAAUUGUGACUGGGUGAUGUAUUGUAUACGACAGUAACUUGCUCUACGGGAUUCCGGAGACCAAGUAAAGAAACAGAGGCAAAAAGACCAUUUGUGAGAUUAAAAUGCUCCCUGAAACUUUGAAGUGUUAACGGGCUAUAAGUUGGGAUAUAGUGAGACUAUUAUCCGAACAAGUAAGGUCAGGUGUGACUAAAGUCUCUUGUGUGUCAUUGUCUUUAUUCUUGGAAAAGGCAGGAACUUUAGGAUUGGGCAAGACCUCAGUUUCAUUUUUGAGCAUGGAGUACACCUCCAACAUCGAUGGUCGGUCUUCCCAUUUUUCUUGGACACACAAUAGUGCAGCUUGCAUGUAUCUCAGUUGCUUGCCUAUUCGAGAAUCAUCUUGCAGUGACAGAUCAAGAAAAUCCACUCCAUUGCCUUUUUCCCAAAGUUCAUAUGCCUGAAUAUUGAUCGUAUUAGCUUAGUUUCCACGUAGAAACUUUUGAGAUUGAACUAGUUAGAUAAGACGGCAAAGACUUACAUAUUCUAGAAGAUUCAGAUCGUUCUUGAUUCCAUAUUCACUUGAAUUCUUCUUUCCGCCAAGGAUUUGCAACAAUAAAACUCCAAAACUGUAAACGUCAUAUUUCCUGGAGUAUAGACCUCGCUUAACGUACUCUGGAGGAACACAACCACUACAGAACACAAGCUGCAAUGUUAGGAGGUAGGAGUAUUAAGUAAGUAACAGUGGUUAAGAGUCAUGAUAUUUACUAGGUCCCGACAAUCCUUCCGGUGUUUGCUUCCUUUUCAUCUUUCUGGAAAAGUUUAGCUAUACCAAAAUCUGAGAUUUUCGGUUUCAUCUCAUCGUCCAGUAAAAUGUUGCUAGCUUUCAAGUCUCUGUGAAUGACUGUGAAUGCUGAGUACUCUUGUAGGUAUAGAAGUCCUUGAGUAACUCCUUCUAUAAUACGAACCCGCGUCUCCCAAUCUAACUGCAGGCUCUGUACUGGAUCUGCAUCACAUAAUGACUUAUUGGACAUGUGGCAUAUAGAUGAUCAUAUGCCUUAAGAUCUUGGAUUACCAUAUGAAGUGCUAUUACACAUUUUGUUGACUAGAUGUUGUGUACAUGGUGUAAUUUGUUAUAUGCCAAGAUUUUCUGGAUUCAAUAUAAUUUUGUAAUGAAGUAAGAGUUUACACACCGUAAAGGUAGAAAUCCAAACUUUUAUUUGGCAUGUACUCAUAAAUCAGUAUCUUCUCUUCUCUUUCAGUGCAACAUCCCUGAAGUUGUAGAACAUUGACAUGCUGUAACUUUGAAGCAAGUGUGACCUCAUUCUGGAACUCUUCUACUCCUUGCUUAGAGUAUGCUGAAAGCCGUUUUAUUGCAAUUUCUUGC